CCAGUUGCUCCCUAUAACAAAGACAAAUAACAAACAUUAAAAGUCCUCAACAUCACCAUACAACAAAUAAUGGAUAGUGUAUUUUAUGUGAAGAACAGCAGGAAUCAAGAGAGAAUUAGUUCAAUCUAUUAUUUAUUAAUGCUUGUUCUUUGGAUUUUAUGAUGUUUUAAUGAGGGAACUUUUGGUUCAACACACAAAUAGGCCUAAUCACACAAAACGCUGAUGACUUAUUCUGCCUAAAUGUAGCUGAAGGCAACAUUGAAAUUACCCAGAACACCACAGCUGUUGCAGAGAGAUGCUCAUGAGAUUGUGUUGUCAUUGAAAGAGCAGUUUUUGAUAUUUCUCCUGUAGAGAUUCUGUCUCGCCAGCAAUUGAUUAAAGACAGGUGAUUAAUUGCCACACUUGAACGUGUCCUUCCCAUGGGUCUCCGCUACACAGCACUGAUUUCUUUCUCUCUCCUUUUCUGUCAAUCUCUGUCUCUCGUCCACACAGGUGUUAGUGGAGAGUUUGUUAUGUUCGGGACGAGAGGAAAACAUCCGUCUGGCACGUCAGCUGAUGCACUGCAGCACUGUGUGAGAAUUUCUGGCUGCCGUCUGUGAAUACUUUAACUCUUCGGGCCACACUCAGUGACCCCUGCAUAAACCUGGCAUGGUCAUGUCUGCUGUUGAUGAUGGAUUGUCCUUCUCUUGUCCAUGAAGAAUUGGAUCUGAUCAGCACCCUCUCUCGACUGGAGGAGUUUGGCGUGAAGUUUCUUCCCUUACGUACGUCUGCGGACGGAUCGUCUAUCAUUGAUAAAGGAGUGCAUCUCUCAGGGCCCUACUGGCUACAGACUGUCCACUCUCCUCCUCAGCCUGGCCAGACUGCUGCGUGUUGCAGAUGAGGUCAAGAGGAAGGGUCAGGUGCUCACGCUGCUGGCAGAACAGGCUCUGCACUGUCAGGACUUCAAGGCCUCCUACAUCCACUGCCAGGAUCUGAUGGCUGCAGCAGGCCGGAGCUGCUGUUCCUGGAUCAAUUAACCCCACAGACCUUCUGUACAGAACCACAGCCCGCACUAUAUAGCAGGGUCCUGACCAACACCACCAUGACCACCAGAGUCGUGCUUACUGCCGUCAGUGACUCCCAUUGGUGGAGGGAGUCCCUCAGCUUACUUUGCCCACUGCACGGACAAGCUGUGAAAAGAAACUGUACAUGUGCGUCCAAUCAGAACGCCGAACUGGAGAGGCAGGGGUGCAGUCCUUUCUACGAGUAGCUGUUCAAAGAUCCAUACGUCAAAAGGUCCAAGGAUGUGUAUUCCUCUUAUGACUACACCCCUCAAGAAAACUUCACUGAAGUUUUACUGCGGACAGGCAAACUGGCUGAAACCAACAUCGAGGGACAGAAUAUCUUUCCUGCAACCGAAGUUAGUGCUCCUUAAAGGCUGUAUACAAACAUUUGCACUUAAAAUCAGUUCCCAUCACAGUGACUGGUGACCUCACCCGUCCCCCAUCACCCUCUUGUUAGCUGCAGUGUCCUUGCUAGGAAUACUAUCAUCUC